UCUUUUCUUGUAAAUGAUUUAUUCAGUUGAAUUUUAUUCUUUUCUUUAACUUGUUUCCUACAAGAGAGAAGGAGAUGUUUAAAGAACUUAUCGAAAGUAUACCAUUUACAAACAUGAUCCCUCCUACAUUUUCUGUCUCUUUUCUUUGAUAACCUUUUCUUUUCCUCUCUCAUCAAUUAUGCAACCAAACAAAUCCUGUGCAUUCUCCCAAAAAAAAAAAAUCUAGCUUUCCAACAUCAAUGAAGACAGUCAAAUGUCCAUAUAUUGUUAUUUGUUCCAUUGCAAGUUGUACAUUAGGAAAGAUCCUAUUUUAGGUAAUAAAAUAUCUGCAAAUUAAAUAAAGAAUAAAUACUAACUAGAAAUCACAAUAAAAUUUUGUAGUACAAGCAGUAGUUCCAGGAAACCUACUUUGCAGGCCUGUUAUUCUUACAAUCAUGACUAUACUUAACAAGAAAACGCUUGGAAAAGCCUACAUACGAUGCAGUUUUUUUAUUGCUGCCGGAAAAGUUUACAUUAAUGAACUCUGUAACUAAGCAUAAUUGAGGUUCUAUAACAGGUUUGUUCUUAUACUGCUUGCUCAAUCCAAACUUAAGAUUUAAUACAAUUCGUUGACCUCUCUAUUUAGACCAUUAGAAGCAGAAGGAAGUGAAAAGCAACCAAAAUUUGUAAUCUAAAACGAUUCUGGGUCUUCCAAAUUUUGAGAAUAAACCUCAACCACACCCAAUUAAGCUAAAUUGAGUACAGACAGAGCUGAGUUCACAGUUUCCUUUGGACCACUUCCCCACCAACCAAACAAAAGACUCUAACCCAUUAAAAUGUACUUAAAAUAGGAAACCCAUAUAAAACUUACAAACAAAUCAGAGUAAAAAGUGGAUAACGCACCAACAUAUUUCCCAGCUAAGACUAACUAAUUUCUCAAAAACACCACCACAAGAAACCAUCAAACAUCCAAAUAACCUAAGUCAAACUCACACACACAGAAUCAUAAAGAGGAAAAAAGAAAAUAAGUCAAAUUAAUAAUAUAUACAAAUCACAAAAUACAAGUACAUAAGCAUAUAUAUACAUCUAUAUGUGUGUGUGUGCGCGCACACG
rnacentral:misc_RNA from 1 species